rnacentral:rRNA from 1 species
AUGAACGCUGGCGGCGUGCCUAAUACAUGCACGUCGAGCGAACAGACGAGGAGCUUGCUCCUCUGACGUUAGCGGCGGACGGGUGAGUAACACGUGGAUAACCUACCUAUAAGACUGGGAUAACUUCGGGAAACCGGAGCUAAUACCGGAUAAUAUAUUGAACCGCAUGGUUCCAUAGUGAAAGACGGUUUUGCUGUCACUUAUAGAUGGAUCCGCGCCGCAUUAGCUAGUUGGUAAGGUAACGGCUUACCAAGGCAACGAUGCGUAGCCGACCUGAGAGGGUGAUCGGCCACACUGGAACUGAGACAAGGUCCAGACUCCUAAGGGAGGCAGCAGUAGGGAAUCUUCCGCAAUGGGCGAAAGCCUGACGGAGCAACGCCGCGUGAGUGAUGAAGGUCUUCGGAUCGUAAAACUCUGUUAUUAGGGAAGAACAAAUGUGUAAGUAACUAUGCACGUCUUGACGGUACCUAAUCAGAAAGCCACGGCUAACUACGUG